rnacentral:rRNA from 1 species
GAUGAACGCUAGCGGGAGGCUUAACACAUGCAAGUCGAGGGGCAGCAUAGGGUAGCAAUACUCUGAUGGCGACCGGCAAACGGGUGAGUAACGCGUAUGUAACCUACCCUGUACAGGGGGAUAACCCGGAGAAAUUCGGACUAAUAUCCCAUAACAAUAUCCGGGGGCAUCUUUGGAUAUUUAAAGUUCCGGCGGUACGGGAUGGGCAUGCGUAACAUUAGCUAGUUGGUAAGGUAACGGCUUACCAAGGCUUUGAUGUUUAGGGGUCCUGAGAGGGUGGUCCCCCACACUGGUACUGAGACACGGACCAGACUCCUACGGGAGGCAGCAGUGAGGAAUAUUGGUCAAUGGGCGCAAGCCUGAACCAGCCAUCCCGCGUGCAGGAAGACAGCGCUAUGCGUUGUAAACUGCUUUUCCAGGGAGAGAAACUUGCGCACGUGUUGCGCAAUUGACGGUACCCUGGGAAUAAGCAUCGGCUAACUCCGUG